UACGUAGGGUGCAAGCGUUGUCCGGAAUUAUUGGGCGUAAAGAGCUCGUAGGCGGUCUGUCGCGUCUGCUGUGAAAACUCAGGGCUUAACCCUGAGCUUGCAGUGGGUACGGGCAGACUAGAGUGCGGUAGGGGAGACUGGAAUUCUCGGUGUAGCGGUGAAAUGCGUAGAUAUCGAGAGGAACACCUGCGGCGAAGGCGGGUUGCUGGGCUGACACUGACGCUGAUGCGCGAAAGCCAGGGGAGCGAACGGG
rnacentral:rRNA from 1 species